AUUGAACGCUGGCGGCAGGCCUAACACAUGCACGUCGAACGAGUGGCGGACGGGUGAGUAAUGUCUGGGAAACUGCCUGAUGGAGGGGGAUAACUACUGGAAACGGUAGCUAAUCCCGCAUACCAUCGGAUGUGCCCAGAUGGGCUUAGCUAGUAGUUGGGGUAAAGGCUCCCCUAGGCGACGAUCCCUAGCUGGUCUGAGAGGAUGACCAGCAAAUAUGGAAAUGAGCAACGGUGCAGAGGCCUACGGGAGGAAGCAGUGGGGAAUAUUGCAGAAUGGUCGAAAGCGUGAUGCAGCAAUGCCGAGUGUAUGAAUAUGGGCUUCGGGUUGUAAAGUACGUUCAGCGGGGAGGCGUUACCCGCAGAAGAAGCAACGGCUAACUCCGUGCCAGCAGCCGAGGUAAUAC
rnacentral:rRNA from 1 species